UGGGUCCGCUUGAAACAAGGUAUCUAGGUCAUAAAUCCAGUGCCAACAGAGGGGUACUUGCAAGAAUGCCAUUACUUGUGGUAACGUGUCCAGGGCCUUGAAAGUCAGUUUUAUGGUGGGAGAAACUGGGGAUACAGAAUCUAGUCGCAUUCUUUAUUUAAGCUUAUUUUAUCUAGGCCUAUAUCAGUCAUAGAACAAAGAAAACUAAAUAGGCUGCAGAUAAUCAUUUCAGAGGUCUAAACCCAAUACCAGCACCUCUUUCUCAGAGAAAACUUGGAAGACAGUAACACCAUCUCUGAUGCUAGCUCUCUCAACAUGAUUUUUCUACCGGUCAAGAAGGAGCUAAACCUGACAAGGUAUGCUAAAUUAUAUUUUGGAUUUAUUUAUAUUCUAGUGUCAGUGGCAUCUUCUUUUGAGAUGUUGGGUGGCUGGUAUUCUGUGGGCAGAGUUUGGAAGGGUGCUUUUUCACUCCAAAUUAAACCUUGAAUAUAUAUUCUAGACAAAAGCAUUAAUUCUAGAGAAGACAAUAACACUCUUGAAAAUAAACAUGCAGCUAGAAUUUAUUCAGAAAGAGUUGUUAACAAACUGUCAGAUGGUGUUGUUCUGAUGUGUGUUUUUAGACAAGGAAAUUACUCUUCAGUUUUGGGUCUAGUAUGUGAUUGUUUUGGCAUCCUAACUUACUGUUCCUUUCUUGAGAAGGCCAGGCAGUUGCCAGUCAGAAUGGUUCAUGUACCAGAUAUUGGAUGAAAUAUGGCGGGUAGGCAAGACUAAUCUAAAUUCAACAGGCCAGCUUCCAGCUGAGGAUUUGGCUGUCUUCUGUACAGGAUUACACAACAGCUGAGAGCUGAAGUGCAGGCUUGUCCUUCCAUUUGGUACUGAGUUGUUCCAAGUCUGAGGAAGGCAGAAUCUGUGAAAAGUAAAUUUCUUCCUAGGACUUUAAAGUAUAAGACCUUCCCAUGCCAUUCAUUUUCCUAGACCCAGGGGUUGGCAAAAUGGCCCACAGGCUGGAUCUGACCCACCAGCUAUUCCAUCUGGCUUGCAGGGCUCCUCCAUAAGCUGAAAAAAUUAUCACAGUCCCUAGCCCUCAGCUGCCCUUCUGAAAGCUGGUGCCUCCAUGCACGAGGUGUGGCUCUGGCGGCUAAGCAACCGACCCCUACCCCAGUCUGGCCUGACCCAGCCCUAACCCCAAGGUCUAGGUAUUCCCCACUUUGUGGAGACAAGAAGCUUCUGCCUGGCAGAGGCUUUUGCUUGGGAACCCCAUGGCUGUUUCUCAGCCCUCCCUGGAAGAGUGGGAAUUGGUCCAGGGACCAUGGACUCACAUUGGGCGAAAGG